rnacentral:rRNA from 1 species
UACGAAGGGGGCUAGCGUUGCUCGGAAUCACUGGGCGUAAAGGGUGCGUAGGCGGGUCUUUAAGUCAGGGGUGAAAUCCUGGAGCUCAACUCCAGAACUGCCUUUGAUACUGAAGAUCUUGAGUUCGGGAGAGGUGAGUGGAACUGCGAGUGUAGAGGUGAAAUUCGUAGAUAUUCGCAAGAACACCAGUGGCGAAGGCGGCUCACUGGCCCGAGUACUGACGCUGAGGCACGAAAGCGUGGGGGAGCAAACAGGAUUAAGAAACCCGUAGUACUCC